GGUUAAGCGACUAAGCGUACACGGUGGAUGCCCUGGCAGUCAGAGGCGAUGAAGGACGUGCUAAUCUGCGAAAAGCGUCGGUAAGGUGAUAUGAACCGUUAUAGCCGGCGAUGUCCGAAUGGGGAAACCCAGUGUGAUUCGUCACACUAUCGUUAACUGAAUACAUAGGUUAACGAGGCGAACCGGGGGAACUGAAACAUCUAAGUACCCCGAGGAAAAGAAAUCAACCGAGAUUCCCCCAGUAGCGGCGAGCGAACGGGGAGCAGCCCAGAGUCUGAAUCAGCUUGUGUGUUAGUGGAACGGUCUGGAAAGUCCGACGGUACAGGGUGAUAGUCCCGUACACCAAAAUGCACAGGUUGUGAACUCGAAGAGUAGGGCGGGACACGUGGUAUCCUGUCUGAAUAUGGGGGGACCAUCCUCCAAGGCUAAAUACUCCUGACUGACCGAUAGUGAACCAGUACCGUGAGGGAAAGGCGAAAAGAACCCCGGCGAGGGGAGUGAAAAAGAACCUGAAACCGUGUACGUACAAGCAGUGGGAGCACCUUCGGGUGUGACUGCGUACCUUUUGUAUAAUGGGUCAGCGACUUAUAUUCUGUAGCAAGGUUAACCGUAUAGGGGAGCCGCAGGGAAACCGAGUCUUAACUGGGCGUUAAGUUGCAGGGUAUAGACCCGAAACCCGGUGAUCUAGCCAUGGGCAGGUUGAAGGUUGGGUAACACUAACUGGAGGACCGAACCGACUAAUGUUGAAAAAUUAGCGGAUGACUUGUGGCUGGGGGUGAAAGGCCAAUCAAACCGGGAGAUAGCUGGUUCUCCCCGAAAGCUAUUUAGGUAGCGCCUCGUGAACUCAUCUUCGGGGGUAGAGCACUGUUUCGGCUAGGGGGUCAUCCCGACUUACCAACCCGAUGCAAACUACGAAUACCGAAGAAUGUUAUCACGGGAGACACACGGCGGGUGCUAACGUCCGUCGUGAAGAGGGAAACAACCCAGACCGCCAGCUAAGGUCCCAAAGUCAUGGUUAAGUGGGAAACGAUGUGGGAAGGCACAGACAGCCAGGAUGUUGGCUUAGAAGCAGCCAUCAUUUAAAGAAAGCGUAAUAGCUCACUGGUCGAGUCGGCCUGCGCGGAAGAUGUAACGGGGCUAAACCAUGCACCGAAGCUGCGGCAGCGACACUAUGUGUUGUUGGGUAGGGGAGCGUUCUGUAAGCCUGCGAAGGUGACCUGUGAGGGUUGCUGGAGGUAUCAGAAGUGCGAAUGCUGACAUAAGUAACGAUAAAGCGGGUGAAAAGCCCGCUCGCCGGAAGACCAAGGGUUCCUGUCCAACGUUAAUCGGGGCAGGGUGAGUCGACCCCUAAGGCGAGGCCGAAAGGCGUAGUCGAUGGGAAACAGGUUAAUAUUCCUGUACUUGGUGUUACUGCGAAGGGGGGACGGAGAAGGCUAUGUUAGCCGGGCGACGGUUGUCCCGGUUUAAGCAUGUAGGCUGAUUGUCCAGGCAAAUCCGGAUAAUCAAGGCUGAGGUGUGAUGACGAGGCACUACGGUGCUGAAGUAACAAAUGCCCUGCUUCCAGGAAAAGCCUCUAAGCAUCAGGUAACAUUAAAUCGUACCCCAAACCGACACAGGUGGUCAGGUAGAGAAUACCAAGGCGCUUGAGAGAACUCGGGUGAAGGAACUAGGCAAAAUGGUGCCGUAACUUCGGGAGAAGGCACGCUGGUGUGUAGGUGAAGUCCCUGCGGAUGGAGCUGAGACCAGUCGAAGAUACCAGCUGGCUGCAACUGUUUAUUAAAAACACAGCACUGUGCAAACACGAAAGUGGACGUAUACGGUGUGACGCCUGCCCGGUGCCGGAAGGUUAAUUGAUGGGGUUAUCCGUAAGGAGAAGCUCUUGAUCGAAGCCCCGGUAAACGGCGGCCGUAACUAUAACGGUCCUAAGGUAGCGAAAUUCCUUGUCGGGUAAGUUCCGACCUGCACGAAUGGCGUAAUGAUGGCCAGGCUGUCUCCACCCGAGACUCAGUGAAAUUGAACUCGCUGUGAAGAUGCAGUGUACCCGCGGCAAGACGGAAAGACCCCGUGAACCUUUACUAUAGCUUGACACUGAACAUUGAGCCUUGAUGUGUAGGAUAGGUGGGAGGCUUUGAAGCGUGGACGCCAGUCUGCGUGGAGCCAACCUUGAAAUACCACCCUUUAAUGUUUGAUGUUCUAACGUUGGCCCCUGACCGGGGUUGCGGACAGUGUCUGGUGGGUAGUUUGACUGGGGCGGUCUCCUCCCAAAGCGUAACGGAGGAGCACGAAGGUUAGCUAAUCCUGGUCGGACAUCAGGAGGUUAGUGCAAUGGCAUAAGCUAGCUUGACUGCGAGCGUGACGGCGCGAGCAGGUGCGAAAGCAGGUCAUAGUGAUCCGGUGGUUCUGAAUGGAAGGGCCAUCGCUCAACGGAUAAAAGGUACUCCGGGGAUAACAGGCUGAUACCGCCCAAGAGUUCAUAUCGACGGCGGUGUUUGGCACCUCGAUGUCGGCUCAUCACAUCCUGGGGCUGAAGUAGGUCCCAAGGGUAUGGCUGUUCGCCAUUUAAAGUGGUACGCGAGCUGGGUUUAGAACGUCGUGAGACAGUUCGGUCCCUAUCUGCCGUGGGCGCUGGAGAAUUGAGGGGGCUGCUCCUAGUACGAGAGGACCGGAGUGGACGCAUCACUGGUGUUCGGGUUGUCAUGCCAAUGGCACUGCCCGGUAGCUAAAUGCGGAAGAGAUAAGUGCUGAAAGCAUCUAAGCACGAAACUUGCCCCGAGAUGAGUUCUCCCUGAGACUUUAAGUCUCCUGAAGGAACGUUGAAGACGACGACGUUGAUAGGCCGGGUGUGUAAGCGCAGCGAUGCGUUGAGCUAACCGGUACUAAUGAACCGUGAGGCUUAACCUU
rnacentral:rRNA from 1 species